UUACAGAUCACCUGGAGAUCAUGUCAGAAUACAGAUUCUGAUUCAGUAGGUUGGAGCGUCUGAGAAUCUGAGUUUUUAACAAGUUCCCAGGUGAUGCCAAU
rnacentral:pre_miRNA from 1 species